rnacentral:lncRNA from 1 species
AGACACAGUGGCACUGGUGCAAGACAUGACUCCUUUAUCUUCACCUGCUUCAAUCAAUGAAGCAACUUCAAAAGAAAGCUCGACUGAAAAACCUUGAAAAAUGAAAAGUAUAUAUGACUUGUAUGAUGCUACUGAAGCUAUUAAUGAUUUGUUUUAUUUAUUUGUAGAUAGUGAGCCACUUAAUUUCGAUGAUGUCAUGAAGGCCGAAAGAUGGAGACUAGUCAUGGAUAAAGAAAUAAAAU